rnacentral:lncRNA from 1 species
CCUCGUUUGUAUUGCAGGGUUUGCUUCGAAACAUAAUUCAGUGUCCGCUGAUGUACUGGAAAAAAGCAUAUUAAGCUACAGGAAGAUGGAUUCUUCUUAGUUGUCACCAAGCAGGUAUUCUUACGUGGCUCUGAUCAAAUCACCGAUGUAUGGAUUCACUUGAAUCACUUGUAUUAUCUGUAGGUUACCCUGUAAUUAACCAUAUAAAAGUUCUUGCUGAUUAUAAAAUAUAUGCUUCUUUUUACUACAAUAUAAAACAUGUAUUUUUCCGUGUUAUUGUAGGGCACCAUCUAUAAGUGUAUGUAAACAUUUCUAUGAACUCAAGUUAAUUGAUGUGGACUCAAGUGUCCUGAUAGAAGGAACAACCUCUCCAAAUUAGGUAAAGAAGAUGGCUGGUCAUCUGUUUGCAAAAUAUUUGCAAAAUUUAGUUGUUGCAUGCUACUUGCGUGUAUGAAAUAGAUAAUGCAAUUCGCAAUAUGUUAAUACUCCAUUGUCGAGUACAUAUAAUCAUUUCGCGGGCAUGACUAACCAUGCCCAUGACAAUAUCUGAAACUUACUGGUGUCAUUUCUCCUCCUGAAAUUAACAUUUUGUUUUGAGAUGUAGGAGUUUCCAUAAGGAUCCUCAUCAGCGAGCAGGAUAUUGAACAAAUUAAUUAUUUGAAUGCCAUGGGCCAACAUUGCAUGACCAUAAUACACAUAACGUUGUAGUGUGGGCUCAGAUGUUGAAUAGCAGUCUCUCUACAGUCACUUGUCUUCAUUUUUUGUUCCGCAACAUGAUUACCUGGAGCCCCCACUUGAUUUCCUCGUGAGCAUGACACUAGCUUCCACGUUUAUGUCGUGUUGAUUUAUCUACAGGCACCUGUCUUUGAUUUAAUAGCAACAACCCCCUUUUAAUAGUGUUGGUUUCUACUGUUAUAUGAUAUCUAGGGUCUUCACGAAUGCAUGCCUAUAACGUCUGAAAUAAGAAUUAUGUUGUGUGUUGAUCUUGUGGAGGUUUCAGAUGUCGUUCCGGUGGUGUGUAGGGCAACUGAAGAUGCUGGCAUUCGCUCUGUCCGUGUCACAAAUUUCAAGCGAGUUCCUUCGUUUGUUGUGUUCCAGGUGUUGCAUGAUUGUACAAAGAACAAUAUCAUUCCACUCUUAGGUUGUAUAAGUACAAGGGAACCAGUUUGCAGUUAUUUACUAUAGCAAACUCAACUAAUUCAUGUCUGUUUUGUGCAUGACGUGACACAAAGAUUCUGAUGUAUUCUGUAACUUGGGCAUGGUGCUCUGAUAAAUUGUUAUCUGUUGUAUUUGAGCCCCAAAAUUCUGCAGUAAUGCUAACAAUGCCUUAGAAAUUUGUUAGCUUUUAUGUGAAGCUGAUUGGCAGUAUACAGAAAUAGUUUUUAUGUGUUAUCUUAUUUGAGUUUCCUAACAUACAG